ACUCUCACAUUGUGCGCUUUUUUUUUUUUUGUCGACAGUUACGGCGACCACGAAGGGAUCCGGAGUGGACUUCUCUCCUUCACCUGAACUCUGCGAGGAACUGGAGCCUUGGUACCAGCAGCGGCCCCUUGCACUCAUCUGCCUCCUUAGAGAGCCCAGAUGAAUUUGGGUCAACAUCGGGGAACUAGAUCCCGCAUGCCACAACUAAGACCCAGCACAGCCAGCCCAAUGGGCCCUUGCUGACUUGGUCCCGACCUUGGCUGGACCGCAUUCCCACCCCUUGCCACGCCCCCAGCAACAUGCAGCUGCCCAGCUCAGAGAGCAAGCACCUGGGAUGCUCUGGAAUAGCAGCUCACUGGCUGACCCCCACUCAUCCUACAGUGGACGUCACGCUCUCUCCAGCUUUCCUCUCCUGACCUGCCAGUUAUGUGUGUCCCCCAGCAGAGGCUGUUCUGUUUUCUCUCUCCCUCAUUAAACUGAGUUCUGUGCCAAGGGCAAUGACGGCAUACAGAAGGGGUCAAGGAAUAUUUGAAUGAAUGAACGAAAAAAUGAAUGAAGGGGAAGCUCCAGGCAAGCUGCUGUGGCCAUCCCAGAGCUGUGCCCUGCCCAGGAGGUGGGGGUGGGGUGCCGAUGGAGGGGUGUAGAUUUUCAAGGGAGGUUCCAGCUGGGCUCAGCCAGGCCACAGCCCCAAGCUGACUGGCGCAUGACUCACAGGCCCCAAACAGAGCUUUCAUAACCCUCCCUGGCCUUUCUGGAUCUGCCUUCUGAUCAGGCCUUCAGGCUAAUACCUCUCCGGUUUCUCUCUUGCUCCAGCCAGUCUCUCCCUGUGAACUUGAACUUUGCAAGAGCCCCGCUGGCUUUAAAGGACCAGCUUAAGAUUCUUGGGCUUUAUUGUGUCUUCUUUCCCAAGGAAUUCUUGCUCUGUUUACAGAAAGGAAAAAAAAAUUGCCACCCACGCUGGUUAAAGCUCACCCUGAUUUUCUGAAAUCUCCUCUCCACCCACCCCUCAUUUGGUAUCUGUCUCCUCGUUGCUGGCGUGGUCCCCACCCCACCCCAGGACUCCCAGGCCAUACGGAGACCCCUGGGUGGGGGAAUGACAGCCCCAAAGCUUUGUUUACACUGCCUGCCUGGCCACAGCCCUAUGGGGCCACCAGGGGCUUGCUCUGAUCCUGGGAACUACUGAGAACAGAAAUCCACAUAAAUUGGGUUGGGUCCCCCACCUCUCCUUCCCUGCCCUCUCUUCCAUCAGUAGAUCCCCUCCCCCUUUUGCAGACGUUUCCCCUCCUCCCAGCCAAACAGAUUCAUUUGCAGAAUGGCCUCCUCUUGUCCUCGUGUCUUCCUGUCAGCGAUGGGCAGUGCCUCCUGGAGCUCACAGCCUUCUCCUUUGUCCAGUUACUUUUAAAAUAAUAAACUUUUAAUUUUAGAAUAAUUUUUAGAUUUCCAGAAAUGUUACAAAGAUCACAAAGAGAGUUAUCUUACACAUUUCACCAGUUUCCUUUUUGAUAACAUCUUACAUAACUACGGCACAUUUGUCCAAAUGAGGAAAACAACAGUGGCACAAAACUAUUCACUAAACUCCACACUUUAUCCAAUUCACUAGUUUUUCUACCAAUGUCCUUUUUCCAUUCCAGGAUCCAAUCCAGAGAACCACAUUGCAUUUAGUCAUAUGCUAUUUGUGAUGAGGAAAUUAUAAGUAUCUCUGUUUUACAGACGAAGGAAGAAGAGAUCGGAGGAGUAAGUGACUUGCUAGGCAGCAAAAGCAGUGGAGGAAAGGGAUUUAGAGCUGGAAGCCACUCGUGGUGCGACCUGAGCCUUAGUUUCCUUGUCUGAAGGGUGGGAUCACAGGUAAUUACUUCAUGGCAGGAGCAAGGACUAAAAGAGACCAUGUCUAUGUGAAACCAUGCAACUCAGAUUGGGACUUGAACCCACGUGCUGGUGUAACAGGGAAGAGCCACAUCUGACUUCAUGUUGGAUCUGUUUCUUUCACUUUAACCUUUGUUUCCCAUUGCUUUUGUUCACUACGAGGAUACUGUCUAUACAAUAUGGCCUGCCUCAGGGAACCCUGCCCCUCUACCUGAAUGUUAAACCAAAGUGCCUUUGUUCAGGGAAACAUCCUGACCCUGUCUACCUGUGGAUGGCUGCAAAAAGAAGAAAUUGGGACUUCCCUGGUGGUCCAGUGGUAAAGAAUCCGCCUUCCGAUGCAGUGGACGGACGUGGGUUCGAUCCCUGGUUGGGGAACUAAGAUCCCACAUGCCGCGGGGCAACUAAGCCCACAUGCCACAACUACUGAGCCCGCGUGCCUCAACUAGAGAGAAAACAACCCCGCACGCCACAACUAGAGAGAAGCCCGCGCUGCAAUGAAAGAUCCCGAGUGACUCAACUAAGACCUGAUGCAGCCAAAUAUAAAAAUAAAAUAAAUAAAAAUAAAAUAAAAUAUUUUUUAAAAAGAAAGAAGAAAUGAACACAUCCCCUCCCUGAGGCUGGCCAUUCCAGGGUACAUUUGCAAAUCUUAUGGCCUUUUUACUUGACUUCCUCAUCUCCUCCCCUUCUCUGUUCUGUAAAAGAAACUGGCAUCCAAACCACGUGAAGAUGGUUCUUUGGAGACAUUAGUUUGCCAUCUUCUCAUUCAGCCGGCUUUCCGAAUAAAGUCGUUAUUCCUUGCCUCAAGGCCUCGUCUCUGAUUUAUUGGGGGUGAGCAGAGCAAGCUUGGACUCGGUAAUACUGGGACUCGAACCCAACCAAAACCCAGAUUGGGACUUGAACCCACGUUCCUUUUUUUUUUUGCUCUACGCGGG